UUGGUUUUCUUGUGCCUCACAUAGAAAUCGGCAAGAUUUAAGUACAAAUUGUAAGGGAUUUUUUCACACACAUUUUGCUCCUGUUUCCUGGAAUCCAAGAAAAAGAAACGCGCUAGAGCAACCCUUUAAAAAAAAAAAACAAACACCAACAAAAUAAAAGCCUGUUCCCAUCAUUAAGUGCUGCAUUCAUGCUGCAUACAGUAAAACCACACCCACUAUAUACUGAGAGGCUGCAACAAAACCCACUGCAGGAUAAGGAUUCUGACACAACAGCCUUGCAGUGGCUAAGAACCAGCAUCCAGCACCCCUGCUAGCGAGAAAAACAUGAUUAACUGGAAAGUGUUCCUCAUAUUCCUUACCGGAACACCUACUGGCAUUUGUUUGUCAACGUUUGGGGGCAAGCGCCACCUUUCCUGACAUCUGCUGAUACUUACAACGGAUCACUUGUGAAAGAUAUCUACAUUUUUUGCAUGCUGAUGCAGUCACCUCUAACUGCACAGGUUACGGAACAGGUCUUGUGCCUCAGUGCCACAGACAAAUUUUAAAGAACCAUUUCCAUGAUUUCAAAAAUAUUUCCAGUGACUAGUUACAAAUGAAAGAAAGGAACAGCACAAAGUGAACAGAAUGAAAGCAGCAUUCCUGACACUUUGUGACCUCUUGAUUGGAUCAGAGAUUUCAAUCUGAAGAGCCUCAAAAAGGUCACAUAUAAAGCAAAGGGUGUUGUUAUUGCAUACUGCAAGUACAUGGUAUGUAACUUGAUUUCUACUAGUCUAGCAUGCACCUAGAAUUUCUCUUACUGAACUAUCCCUUACAUUGGAGCGGGUUUGUAGUAUGUAUGGUCCAUGACUGCUCAACUGUGAUGUUAAAUUAAUAGACUUGGGGCUCAAUCCUGCAAGAUUAUGAAUACCCCAACGCUGAUCCAGCAAAACUCUUAGGCCGAUACUUAAACACAUCAGUAGUCCUAUUAAGCCAAUGGGACUGCUCACAUGCUUGAAGUUAAGCACGUGCUUAAGAGCUUUACUGGAUUGGAGAUUCAGUUUGUAGAUAAUUUUCACUUUUUUUUAUUUUUAUAUAUUUUUCAAUCAGAUUGUCCUACUUCCAUAUUGUCCACCAAUUAUAAGCAGUUUGGAGUAGCCUACUGUGCAAAACACCCAGUUCCAGGCCCUCAAGCUCCCUCGACCAGUAUUGCUCAAGGUGAUCCAUCUGGCCAGUAAAGGAACAGCAACAGUGAGCUAUGGAGAGUGUGAGGUGAAUCCUCCUUGUCCAGGAAGAUGGUUCCAAACACUGACAUAAUCAACAAUGGAGAAGGCAGUGCAGGAGAACACAGAGGAGAGAGAAAACCGGCUAACAAGUCCAUGCUGGGAGAGAUGGAGGGGAUGGAAAUUAGAGGUUACAUUUUUUAAAUUACUGAUGUAACAAUUUUAAAAUGUAUUUACACUUCAAAAAACUCUCCAGAAAAAUGUCAUUGCCCAAUCAAAUAUGGUUGUGUGUGCAACACAUUGUUUUUCAGUAGCUGAGGAUCUGGCUCAAUGUAAUGGAGCUAUGUGAAUUUACCCCUCCAGAAGAUCUAACCUACUCCCUUCUCUGGCUUUCAGUUUACCCAACCGGCACGGAUCUCUGAUCUUGUGGGCUGAACGUCUGAUGACUCCCAGGAAACAAUAUGGGACAAUUUCCAUAAGGUUCCCUCACUGAGGUUUUCCUUCCCAUAGGUCCCUUCCUGCAGCUUUUUCAGUGCGAAGGGGAAAUCUGGCCCAGGAAUCUCAGAGGGUAAACUGAGACUAGAGGUACCAACACUGACUUUUGUAUGUUCCUACAACUCAGGAGAUAAUCAUGGGAUACAAGUGAUUUCCCAGAGUUUGGCAAGUCAAAGAACUGCUAUCAGGCAUUUCACAGGUUUCAGUUUAUUUCAGGGGGGAGAAGACAAAAAACCCAGAAGACCCACAGUAAGUGGACUGAGUGAUUGGGGACUGGAUUUCACUAUUCAGUAAAGUAGUAGGGGGUUAUAGUUUGAUCAUGAGCCUGAUGCUGCUCUCACUUUUAAAAUGGUGUAAAUCAGGAAUACAUCUACUGAAAUCAAUAGAGUCCCACCCGUGUAAAAGUAAUGUAAGUUAGAGGAGGAUCAGAUCCUACAUAUUUGCUACCUGGCAUCUCCUUUUCAAUACUAUAUAUUUAUAACCCCCAAAAUAUUUUUUUUAAAUAGUAAAAUAUACUAAACAAUUAUGGGCCUACUCCUGCAAUCUGAUCUAUGAGGGUGACUCCCAGGCAUCUAUAUGGACUUCCUUCAAUGAGAUUCCACAACAGCAUAAAGGUUCACUUGCAUGGAGCAGAUUGCAGGAGUGUUUUUUAUCUGUAGGGCCAAAAUUCAGAUGUGCAAAUAUUAAUAGGAAUGUUUGCAUUAAUUACACAUAAAAAUCCAAUGAAAACAGCUUUUGUUUGGUUGGUUUUUUGGUUUAGUCUUGUAAACAUUUCAUUUAACUGUUUUCAAACCAAAGAGCCCAAAGGGGUCUCUUCUUGACUUUGAUCAGAGUUUUUCAUCCUGCAGGACUGAGCUCAGACCUUGCCAAAAGUGAAACAGCCCAGUCUACCAUCAUCCAAACUGAACACAGCCCCCAAAAUGCAUAAACAUAGGAAAACAAAUCUGUUUUCUAAUUCUUUCAUAUUUAAUAAUCCUGGGCCACAUUUGGUAUGGUACUUAAGUACAUGCCUGACUUUAAGUAGCCCUUUAAGUUAGGCAUAUUUAUAGAUUCAGAGCCUAAAGGAACCACUGUGAUCAUCUAGUCUGCGUAACACAGGCCGCAGAACUUCCCUGAAUUGAUUCCUGUUUUGACUACAGAACAUCUUUCAGAAAAAAUCCAAUCUUGAUUUAAAAAUUGCCAGUGAUGGAGAAUCCACCAAAACCCACGGUAAAUUGUUCCAGUGGUUCAUUCCCAUCACUGUUAAAAAGUGGUGCCCUAUUUCUGAUGUCCCUUGUUGAAUUAUUGGUUUAUUAUUUGCUGCAUUAUUGAAAUAUUGGUUCUUAACCCAGCGUGUCUUUCUAAAAGCCUCACAAGACCCUUCUGACGAAAUGAGAGAGGCCUGUUCUCCCUUUUCUAGAACCAAAGGGAGCUUCAGGAAAACAUCUGAUUUAUCUAGGUAUACCCUGCUAUCCAGCAUAAUAUGAGCAUGCCUAGCAGUUGCACACAAAAAAACAGAGUGCCUGCUUCCCCUCUCACUUACACUAGUGUAAACCAAGGGUAACUGCACAGAAGUCAGCAGGCCAGAUCCUCAGCUGGUGUAAACUGACGUAGCUCCAGGAUGUGGUGCAAUGGAACUCCGUCCAGAUGAGAAUCAGCCCCUAAAGCACUCGAUUCUUUUGGUUAUAGGUGACCAAUAAUUUUCAGUGAUUUUUUUUACUUUUCUAGCAUAACAUUAUUAAUUUUAAUGGCAAGCCAUUGAUAUUAACUGUGACUGACCAAAUGUGGGGGAGUGACCUCUACAGAGCAAGCACCAAAUGCUUUUCCAAAUUCCCCCUCAGUUUUCAGUAGGUGACAAGCCCAAGCUCACACAGAGUCUGUGGCAGAGUGGGGAACUGACCCAGAUUUUCCAAAUCCCAGGUUUGAACCCUAACCACUGGACCAUCCUUCCUUUUGUGGCCCUAAUGGUUCCCAAGAGCUUAAACCUGUCACUAGUCCUGGACAGACUACUGUUCGUGGCACAGCUCAGACCAGUGUGACUUUGGAGCAAAUUCUAUAUCUAUGUGGGGGAAUGAAACAUUUUUGUGGCUGGUUGUUUUAAAGUAAGCAGCAACGGUACUAAAGUUGCUCAGAGGUUUAGAACAUACCUUUCAACUGUCUUUCAUUUCAAGGGUUGUCACUCAUUUUGGUCCCAAAGUUACCUACAUUCCUACAAAUUUGAUGUCACCUCGCUUUCAGUCUUAAACUAUUUACAUCAGAAAUAAAGACUUGUGAAGCUCAGGUUCGAGAGCCAUUUACACCGAAGGAAUCAAUCCCACAGCAUGUUAAGCUUAUCACAUGAAUAUUUGGGGGAGGGAGGAAGGGUCCCUCAUUUCUGCAUCUUUGUCACCCAUUGUGUCCCACAUUUGGGCCUCGACAAACUGAGAGGCAUGUGUUAGACAUAGUCCAGACAGAGGUGGAUUAGUGAGCAGUGUACAGGUAGGGUUAUCAUUGCUUCAUGAUAAAUGUGCAUUUCACAUGGCAAAGUGCCACCAUGUAUGUUCUCUGAUUUGCCUCCUAGGUUUAAAUACCUAAGGCCCUCUUCUAACACAGCAGAAUAUGAAUAAACUCUCACUGAUUUCAGUGGGGGAAAUUACUUGCAUCCUCGAACAAGAGAGCAGGAACGCUGCCAUCAGGUAUUCAACUGGUAUAAACCAGUGUACCUCUACUAAAGUCACUUUUAAAGCACCAUUAUAAACAAGGGGCUAGAUCCUCAGCUGGUGCAAAUCACUGUAGCAACGGAGUUAUGCUGAUUAACACCAGCCUAUGAUCUUGGUUUUUUAAAUGUUGCAGUGGAAUGAUACACCCGACAAUGCAAUGGAAUAUAUUUGGAUGGGGCCGGGGAGAAUGAAUGAUAGACUGUACCAACUAAAAGUAUUUUUUUAAUCUCUAACCUCUGUGAUUCCAUAAGAAAUAAAAGAUCUAAAAAGGCCUGUCUAGUAAGAAAGCUACUGCUGAAAUAUGAGGCACAGGAAAAAAAGAAUUUGCUGUUU